ensembl:misc_RNA Y_RNA Y RNA
GGCUGGUCUGAUGGUAGUGGGUUAUCAUCAUUUAUUAACAUUAGUGUCACUAAAGUUGGUAUAAAACCCCCGACUGCUAAAUUUGACUGGCUAGAA